CUACUGUUGUUAUUGCUACUACUUGUUAAUCCGGUAAUCAUAGUAAACAUCAGAAUUUAGAUUGAGGAGGUUCGUUGGUUAGCAGUAGAAGGCAAACUCUUUGUGAGGCCAAGGUAUUUAGGACACUUUAUCUGGAAAAUGUUGGAAAAGUUUUGUUUCAGAAUACCUAAUGUGGUGUAUCUUCUGGUGAGUCGUGCACCUUCUCUGUACAUACCUUUCAGGAGGAACCAUGGCUUGUUUGUUUUUGUCUGGUAUGGGAAAAAUUACUUUGAAAAGUCAUCCAGAGAAGCAAAAACAUAAAACACCUUUCUAGUUAAUUAACCCAAAUCCUUUCAGCGUGGUUUCACCCUGUUUUAAAAGCUUGAAACUUGACCAUUAACCUCAAAAUGGAUGAGAGAGCACUCUCUCUUCUGCUUUUUUCUUCUCCAGCAAAAUGUGACAUAAAAAGCCUGUGAAAUGAAAUGAUGAGUUUAAAACGUCUUUUUGAGGCAAACCCAAUUAGGGCUCGCACAGUUUUUUUCCACCUCACAAAAAGCCUUACAUUAGGAUGAGGGCUAGUUAUUAGUUCCGCAGUCGUUAUUUUACAAAUCAUUUCUGUUUGCCUUCCACACACUGUGGCAGAGAGUGGGCUCCAAUUAGAAAGGCAUUAAAACAGCAACCAGGACUUAGCUGCAUUACACCCAGCAAUGACAUUCCACCUGCCAUUAUGUUAUUAGCAAAAAGCUGGAUCGAGAGAGGAAAAAAGGCUUUUAAUUGAAAAUAAAGAGAAAUAAAGGCAUUUUGAAAGUAGCAGCUGUUAGCUUGCAGAUCUCUCAGCAGCUGUUGCUGUCAAGUCUGAAUCUGGGCCUAUUCACCCCAAAUCUCUCUCUCCUGAAUGACCAUGUAGUGCUGGCUGGUCCUUCGCUUUGUUCAGCCUUAAUGCCGCUUUUCAAAAUGAGCUCUGUGGUAAUGCCGUGUGUUUUCAGACUGGACUGGGAACAACAGUAAUACAUUUGAAAGUAAAAUCUGUACUGGAACUUUGAAAUCAUGUUUCAUUGAUAUGUUGACAUUUAGUGUGCACAUAAAAACAAUAAACUCUGAUUUGACUUUUCAAUGGCUUUGUCACUUGCAAUGACAGAUGGACUAGGAAGGACACUCUGCGCACUAUAUGUGCAUUGAUGGGUCAUCUGUCAUUUGAUUUGGGUCAUUGUUUGUGGUGGCACGAGGUUCUGGACCACAGCCCAAUAAAUUCCCACAGACACCUUAACAGCUAUUAUCCCAUACGCACAAAUGGACAUCAGCAUCCUUCAGGUUUAUUUUCCAACUGUGUGUUCAAAGCAACACUGGUCUAACGGGAUAUCAAUUUAUUGAAUAUUUAUACUUAAGUCUAAUUAUUAGUGGUUUUUGUGUGACCCUUUCUGCAGGUUAUAUCCUCAUUCCACUGGGUGGCGACAAGUGACUGUCUUUUUUGAGCGAGUCUUUGAAUCAAUUUGUUCAAACACACUGACUCAUUCAGGAUCGAGCAAGCGACUGUAGUGAGUGAUUGAAUCAUGAAUCAUUUACUCAACUGAUCUGUUCAAAAUAUUGAUUCAUUCAGAGUGGAAUCUCAAAGAACCAUUCACUCAUCAGAUUCGUUCAAAACACUUUUUAGUCAGGAACGAACGAAACACCUCCAUUUUUUAUGAGUGAUUAAAUUAUGCAAAUUUGUUCAGUUCAAUCAGAAACCAAUGAAAGAAGCUGCAGUCUCAAAAAUUCGCUCAUUUGAUUCGUUCAAACACAAUGAUUCAAUUUGGAACGAACGAAACAAGCGACCUCUAAUGAGUGAGUGUUUGAUUCAUUCACUCAUCCGGUUCCUUCAAAACACUGAUUCAUUUAGGAAGGAAACAGCUACUGACUCAAACUGUGGAUUUGUUUGGAUGUAUUUCCUUUGGCACAGAGAAAACAAAGUACCUGCAAAUAUGACAUCUAAAAUGUUCACAAGAUCGGAACAACAUUUGAACAUGUUUGUGUGUUGUAAACAUGCAUCCAUUCACAUAUGUGCCCUCUCAGACGUGUGGAUCGGACCAGGGGCUUUCCAGCCCACCCCCCUCAUGAAGUGGCCUUUCGACUGCGAAGAACUCUUUAUAGAAAACGGAGCGGUGCUUUCAUAACCCCCUAAUCCCCCCAAAAAUAAAAGAUGCCAGGGGGCAAAGAUUGUGGAGGGUCCCGGUAUUCUGCUAAUGGAAGUGAUUGACAUCUGGCUAUCUGUUGUGGAAAUCUCGCAGCCUCUUUGCCCAAACCACAUCUCUUUUUCUGUUUACUGGACGAACAGCAAGACACAGACAGACGGGUGGCAUGAGUCAGAGUCAUAUGCUGUUAUUUACUCUGUGGAAGGAAAGGAAGAAAGGAAUGAGGUUGACGACAUAUGGGCCAAUCUGUGGAGAGGAGAAAGCGGGAUGGAGGAAGAGAUUGUGCAGGAGUAGGAGUGGAAGGUGCUGAUGCUGGGUUGAAUAAGUCUUGAUAUUAUUGGAUGAAUGGAUGAUUUUAUGCCUGUUAAUAUAUGCUACCUUUUGUGCUUUAGAAUUCGACCCUUAAAGCUGCAGUGUGUUUUUUUCUACUACACCCAAAUUCUAAAAAAUAGUUUUCAAACAGGUUUCCCCAAACACACCUGUAUGCCAUUGUUCAGACCAGUGUUGAAAGUGUCACAGUAUUUGCACUUUUCCCUAUGAAUGGCUUCCUUCACUGAGAUCUCAUCGUUCAUGAUUGUUGUGAUUUUUAGAUAAAGUGUUGUUCCAGCACACAUACAUUUAUGUUCCUUUGUAUAGACACUAUGAUUAACAUUUAAUGAAUUGGUAGAAUCUUAAACUUAGUUUUAGGUUAAUAGGUUUUAGGUCAAUAGAAUGUUAUAAAAUGGAAUUAAUUGGUUGGUUUAAUCAAUGAGUUUAAAUAAAUAUAUUCAGUGGCAUGACGUAAUUUGAAAAUUUCAUAGUUUAAUUCUGUAUGCAAUUUCUGGUACAUCAAUUUUAUCAAUUUUUAACUUGCAAUGAUACAUUAGUGUCAGUUUUAUACAUGAUGUACAUGUACAGAUGUGUAAAGAUUUUACCCUUUCCAAAGCUGUUUAUGCGCAAAUGCUUUUGUGUUUUAUAUGCUUGUCAAUACUUCCAUAUUGUAUGUAAUAUUUAGAUGAACUGAACAAAUAAGGAGCCAAAAUAAGACACUGAACACAAUGCUAGGGGCUGAUCACCAUUAGACCUUUCAUUCACGUGUUUGUUUAGACUCCAGGUCAUUUUGUUCCAAUAGCGUUGCUUAGUAAGUCGUGUCUGUGUCUGUUAAUGACAAUGCUAGCAUAAAAUUAUAUAAAAAACAUUCUCCAAA